GCUCGUAGUCGAACUUCGGGCCCGGCGUGGCGGUCCGCCUCACGGCUGGUACUGUCUGACGACCGGGCCUUACCUCUUGGUGAAGGCGCGUGCCUCUCGGGGUGCGUGUCGGAACCAGGAACUUUACCUUGAGAAAAUUAGAGUGUUCAAAGCAGGCAAACGCCAGAAUACAUUAGCAUGGAAUAUCAGAAUAGGACGUGCGGUUCUAUUUUGUUGGUUUCUAGGAUCGCCGUAAUGAUCAAUGGGGACGGUCGGGGGCAUUGGUAUUCCGUUGCUAGAGGUGAAAUUCUUAGAUUUACGGAAGACUAACAUCUGCGAAAGCAUUUGCCAAGGACGCUCCCGUCGAUCAAGAAC
rnacentral:ncRNA from 1 species